rnacentral:rRNA from 1 species
CCUUGUACACACCGCCCGUCACACCACGAAAGUGGUUAUAACCAGAAGCAGGUGAGCUAACUUCGGAGGCAGCCUACCAAGGUUAUAGCCGUGAUUGGGGUG